AUGUUUUACCUGGCUGCGGCCAUGUCAGAUUUCUAUGUUCCUGUCUCUGAAACUCCUGAAUACACGAUCCAGUCAUCAGGGGGCCCAUUUCAGAUAAUGAUGAAGAUGGUGUCAAAAAUGCUUCUCCUUUGGUUAAAGAUUGUGCUCCCAAAGCAUUUAUAAUUUCCUUUAAGUUGGAGACUGACCCCUCCAUUGUAAUUACUCGAGCUCAGAAGGCUUUGGAAGUGUAUCAGCAUCAAGCGGUGGUGGCUAAUAUCCUUCAGUCAUGACAGUCCUUUGUGGUUAUUAUAACCAAAGACUCCGAAACCAAGUUAUUGCUAUCAGGGGAAGAAACAGAAAAAUACAUAGAGAUAGAAGAGAAGAUAGUGGAUAAUCUUCAGUCUCAACACACAGCUAUAAUAUGUGACAAAAACUGAAGUAAAAAGCCCUUACAGGAUCAAAAAUUGUCCAGGGCUCUUACAGAUGGUGAAAACUGUAAUAAAACCUUGCUUUCAUAUGGACAGAGAAAAUAAAGGAAAUGGAAACGGCAGUGGUAAGCAGGCAGACAUGGUUUGGUAUUUGUCUGUUAAUGACACGUGAUACAUUCAUCUGAAUGUCAUCUUGAUUUUGAAAUUGAACAUGAGAACUGUUUCUCACCUUGAAAAAGAAGAGCUUAUUGGGAAUUAUCUAUUCCUUAAAAUACACAUGGGGGCCUGGAUAUCAGCCUUCUUCAUACUAUAAAAAGAGGACUAUGGAUGCAUGAAUGGUCAUGCUUUGGAAAUCAAAUAAUUGUUGAGUGCCUAUUGUGUGUCAGGCACUGUGCUGAGCCAUGAGGAUUAAAAAGAUGAAUAAACAUGUUGUUGUUUUUUUUUAAAAAAGCCACAUUUGUUAUACAAUGAGAAUUUAACAUAGCUUAAUUGUUGGUGCUAUAUUUCUCUGGUUCUCCCCAUCCACCACUGCUUCUAAUUUCUACCAUUGUUUUUACUGUGCAGUUUAUACUUUUAUACCCCGAUAAUUCAUUUAUUCAUUUAGUCUUAGCAUCAUGAAGGUACUAGGAAUAUAUUAUUUAUUUCUUUAUUUUGAGACAGAGUUUCACUCUUGUUGCCCAGGCUGAAGUGCAAUAGCACCAUCU